rnacentral:lncRNA from 12 species
GCCCCCUCGCCUUCCCGUCCCGCUCCCUGCCCAGUGGGUCCCUGCCCACCCCGUGCGGCCAUGUGGCCCUGUUACUCCGCUUUGCUGCUGUCUUCAUGGGCACCACCAGCAGGCUCCUGGGAGGCCUGAGCCCGAGGACACCCCAGCUCUCUCCCCCCGGCUCUGAGGCCGGCGUCUCCCCGUCUGGGCCCCACUCCCCCGUCUGCCCCCGCUGGGCCGGCCAAAGCAGCCUCCUGCCCCACCCGGGGUGACUUCCCUGGGAUCCUCUUCCCUGCCCCAUCCAGUGGUCUCCUGUCUCCAAAUCAAUCUCCCAGGGCAGCGGUGCAGGGGUGUCUUCUGUCUCCUGUGUCCCCCCACGGCGAGCACAGAUGAUGCACGCAAUAGACCCUUGCUGUAUACACAGUGACUGGAGUCCUUCAGGGCACGCAGGGGGACUGAGCCCGCCGCGGGAAGGAGAGGCCAUUUCCCCCUGCAAAUGACGACCCGCCUGGCUCCAGGACGGCCCACGGUGCACACGCAGCUGCAGGGCGGGGUCCCUGCGCCCUGCCCCCCAGGAGGCUGCAGCGGAGGGGGCUCGGCGGCGGCACGAGUUUAGAAUGUUCCCAAGACUCCUGCGGAGAGAGACUCCGUCCUGGCCCGGGUCUAUUCUUAGCAGCGCUCACAGCCGGUCCCGGAGAAGGCUGGCUGUUCCGCAGCGUCUGGCUUUCUCCGUCCAAUCUUUGGUGGAACCUUCUGUUUCCGCCUUCAGGAAGAGGCCAGCGGCUGGCGAUUCAGAGGUGAGCUGAGGGCGUUGGGAACAUGAGCGUCAGCCCCGCGGCGUUCCUCCUGCAGACCCUGAUGGGAUGCGCGCGUGCCAGGCACCGUGCUAAGGCUGGGAGGGAUGCAUCACUCUGGCUCCGAGCAAGCUUGCCAUCCAAGAGCCAAUUAUAUUUUUGAUGGUUUGAGCGGUUUCUUUCCAGAAACUUAAAAUGGGAGAUGGUGUGGCUAUGUUGAACUGAAAUUCAGGAAGUCCAGAUUUCAAACUCGGUUUAUUUAUACAGAGGAAACCAGGAAGGGUACGUGAGGCUUCCAUUACGGGUCAUCAGGGACCCCAGGAGCGGAGCGGGCCGGGCGGCCGCCCUCACGUGACCCAGCGCAGCCGCGGGGGACACAGACGGGACCUGCCGUGGCGCCCCGUGGCCGGUCCCAGACCCCCGUCCAGAGCCGUGCGCUUCGGGGGCGCGGACAGAAAAUAUUUGUCCCAG